GAUUAGCUCAGCUGGGAGAGCACCUGCUUUGCAAGCAGGGGGUCGUCGGUUCGAUCCCGUCAUC
rnacentral:tRNA from 1 species